GCGGGGUCUCAGCCUACCAACAUGGCGCCCCCCCAGGCCCAGCGUCGGAAAACCACUCUCAGUGAGGGCGGUGGGCAAAUGGCAUCAGCUCUUUGAGCCACAGUGUUUUCAGCUGUAAAUGAGGAUCAGCUUACUGGCCUCUCAGAGAUGCGGGGACAGUCAAGUGACAUAAUAACCCAGGCCCACCCUUCUGUGGCUUCCCGUUGCUGUCGUGGCCAAGUUCGAGCUCUGGCUGUGAGCUGGCCGGCACCUGCCCGACGACAUACCCCCCGUCUUCCCCCUCCCAGAGACCCCCUUUUGAGAACCAUGCCCAACUGCUUGCAGUUCCUUGAACUUCUCUGGUCCGUGCCUUUGCACGUACUGCUCCCCUCUGCCUGAGCUGCCUUUCCUCUACUUCCCCAAUCGAGGGGCCUACUCACCUCUUCUCAGGUGAAACCAUGAGGACACCUUUCCUGGGAUUCUAAGAAAGGGAGAGAAAAACCUCAGACUGGAUUCGGAGAAAUGGAGCUGGCCUCCUGCAGUUCUGGAAGAAGGAAAAUGAGAGGUGGGGUUCCUGAUCAGCCAGUUCGAAGCUGAGAGGCCUUGGGCGAAUUGGCUUCACCCUAUGGGACUGGAGCAGAGCCCAGAAGCCCUGCGGAGGCUCCAGUGCCAGCUUCCUGGUGGCACUGGUGUGCUGCUUAUGCAAGCUGUCACCACAGGCCAGAUGGAUUCCCUGUAUGUCUCUUUGCAUGUCCUGUAUAUGUACCAUUAUUUCAAAGAAAACAUGUUUAAAAAUCAUUUUUAAAAAAGAAAAACAGGUAGACAACCUUAGCAUAAAGUGUAAUCUGACUUUGACAAUUAACCGUGGGGGUGGAGAGACCGAAUGUGUUCUUUCCUUUCUACAAUCUUUUCCAGAAAGGCUUCCUGUAAUUCAUGCUUCCUAGGAGAACAAUAAUAAAUGUGUAAUAUCUUUCUGCUUUGAA